CCUACGGGAGGCAGCAGUGAGGAAUAUUGGUCAAUGGGCGUAAGCCUGAACCAGCCAAGUCGCGUGAGGGAUGAAGGUUCUAUGGAUCGUAAACCUCUUUUAUAAGGGAAUAAAGUGUGGGACGUGUCCUAUUUUGUAUGUACCUUAUGAAUAAGGAUCGGCUAACUCCGUGCCAGCAGCCGGCGUAAUACGGAGGAUCCGAGCGUUAUCCGGAUUUAUUGGGGUUAAAGGGUGCGUAGGCGGCCUUUUAAGUCAGCGGUGAAAGUCUGUGGCUUAACCAUAGAACUGCCGUUGAAACUGGGAGUCUUGAGUAUGUUUGAGGCAGGCGGAAUGCGUGGUGUAGCGGUGAAAUGCUUAGAUAUCACGCAGAACCCCGAUUGCGAAGGCAGCCUGCCAGGCCAUGACUGACGCUGAUGCACGAAAGCGUGGGGAUCAAACAGGAUUAGAUACCCUAGUAGUC
rnacentral:rRNA from 1 species